AUGUCAUCCAACAACUUCAUCGGUCAAAUUCCAAGUUCUCUUGGUAGGCUUGGGAUGUUGAGUUAUCUAAACCUUCAGACAAACAAGCUCGAGACCAAGGAUAGCGAAAGCUGGGAAUUCAUAGGGGCCUUAAGCAACUGUAGUUACCUGCAGACUCUCGGACUAGGUGAAAAUAGGUUACAAGGAGCUAUACCAACUUCUAUUGGUAAGAUGUCACCCGAACUUCAACUGCUAGGGCUGGAAGCAAACGAACUGUCAGGUGCCUUAACAUAUCUAGAUUUAUCUAACAACAUGCUCGAGGGCCCGAUUGAAGGGUGGGUUGGAAAGCUGAAACGUCUAAACGUUAUAGCUCUUGGCGGGAAUAGUUUCACUGGCCCAAUGCCUCCUCUAUUGGUAGUCUUACUAAGUUAG
rnacentral:rRNA from 1 species